rnacentral:rRNA from 1 species
UACGUAGGGGGCAAGCGUUGUCCGGAUUUAUUGGGCGUAAAGAGCGUGUAGGCGGCCAGGUAGGUCCGUUGUGAAAACUCGAGGCUCAACCUCGAGACGUCGGCGGAAACCCUCUGGCUAGAGUCCGGAAGAGGAGAGUGGAAUUCCUGGUGUAGCGGUGAAAUGCGCAGAUAUCAGGAGGAACACCGAUGGCGAAGGCAGGUCUCUGGGCCGCAACUGACGCUGAGGAGCGAAAGCAUGGGGAGCGAACAGG